GGGCCCUUGGUCUAGUGGCUAUGACGCUGCCUUCGCAAGGCAGAGAUCGCGGGUUCAACUCCCGCAGGGUCCA
rnacentral:tRNA from 1 species